AUACAGGGUUCUGGUGUAGGUACAGUGUUCUGGUGCAGGUUCUAGUGCAGAUACAGGGUUCUGGUGUAGGUACAGGUUUCUGGUGUAGGUACAGUGUUCUGGUGCAGGUACAGGGUUCUGGUGCAGGUACAGGUUUGGGGUUAUUGAAACCACCUUCUAAACCCACAUGUACAAACAGUGGCGCGGUCAGACCUCAGAACCGUUCAUGGACCAGUUUGUCUCUGUCAUUAUGUUUCUGAAC